GGUUUUAUUGUCUAAUGGUUACCAUUCUGGACUUUAAAUCCAGUAGUCUGAGUUCAAAUCUAAGUAGAACCU
rnacentral:tRNA from 1 species